CCCACCCAGCGGUCGGCUAAACAACCUGCAGACAAAAGCCUGUGAGUUGAACAAAGGCAAAUGUGUGGCCCUCGAGCAACGGCGAGGGAGCCAGGAGCACAUGGGCGUGCGGACCAACUACUCGUUAGUAGUCAGGCUGACCCUAUGGUGGGGCACUCCUAGUCGAGUGUGGUGGAUCGGACUCUCAUCUCCUGUUGCGUUAAGCGCGAUGUGGGAGAUUGUGAGUUUCUUUGUUGCUGGUGGCAUUUGGGUCGACAUCAGUCGUGCCCGUAAACAACUGCCUUGGCUCGUGCCUCUGUGCGUAUUACCUCUCGCAGGUGCGUGCAUUGAAAGGCCAUAGCUGGCGAUCACUCUUGCGGCCAGGGCACUACCUUUAGCCUGGUUAAUGGCAGUUGGUAUUGCGCACAGGUCCAAAAGGAUAUCGUAAUACGAGAGUCGGGUCUCUGAUACUCUAGCCCGCUUCGCACGGUGUGGAGUGGUGAUUUGACGGUCCCUGCGUAUACGCUUCUCUGGUAAAGGUUCGUCUCUCGUACUAUUCGAGAAUGACAAGCUCUACUUCUUUUGUUCACACACAUGCUGACAGACGAAAAAACGCCUGACGAGAUCAGGAAGGAUUUUCUAACAGUGUGAAAAAAGUAACAGAUUGGCCUGCAGUGUCGCACCACUCUACCUUAAAGCACCGUGUGCAACCGUUGGUAUGAGAGAGGCUCGCAUGCCAUAGCUGGCGAUAACUCUUGCGGCCAGGGCACUACCUUUAGCCUGGUUAAUGGCAGUUGGUAUUGCGCACAGGUCUAAAAGGAUAUCCUAAUACGAGAGUCGGGUCUCUGAUACUCUAGCCCGCUUCGCACGGUGUGGAGUGGUGAUUUGACGGUCCCUGCGUAUACGCUUCUCUGGUAAAGGUUCGUCUCUCGUACUAUUCGAGAAUGACAAGCUCCACUUCUUUUGUUCACACACAUGCUGGCAGACGAAGAAACGCCUGACGAGAUCAGGAAGGAUUUUCUAACAGUGUGAAAAAAGUAACAGAUUGGCCUGCAGUGUCGCACCACUCUACUUUAAAGCACCGUGUGCAACCGUUGGUAUGAGAGAGACUCGCAUGCUCGUGUGGUAAUGCCACCACCUCGACUUAGGAGAGGUUACCCGCUGAACUUAAGCAUAUCAGUAAGCGGAGGAAAAGAAACCAAUCAGGGAUUCCCUUAGUAGGGGCGACCGAAACAGGGAUGAGCCCAGCGCAGAACCUCCCGGGCCACCCGGCCUGCGGCGGAAUGUUGCGUUAAGGGAAAGGUCGUAGUCAAACCCCACAGCCACGCGAGCUCUAAGUAAGUCACGAAUUGGCUAUCCCAACUAACGGCGGGAAAAUCUCCACGGAGGGUGUAAGACCCGUGUGGGCGCGUGCAAAUGCUGUGUGGGCUCGGCCUCUUUUCCCUGAGAGUCCCGUUGCUUGAGCAUGCAGCGCUAAGCAGGUCGUAAACUCGAUCUAAGGCUAAAUAUGUCCACAAGACCGAUAGCGAACAAGUACCGUGGAGGGAAAGUUGAA
rnacentral:rRNA from 1 species